CAGUCGAACGAGAAAGGGGAGCAAUCCCUGAGUACAGUGGCGUACGCGUGAGUAACACGUGGGUAAUCUACCUCUUUGAGUGGAAUANCNCUGGGAAACCGGGGCUAAUACCGCAUAAGCCUGAGAAGGGAAAGUCGCAAGACGCUGAGAGAGGAGCCCGCGGCCGAUUAGCUAGUUGGUGAGGUAAAAGCCCACCAAGGCAGAGAUCGGUAGCCGGCCUGAGAGGGCACACGGCCACACUGGCACUGAAACACGGGCCAGACUCCUACGGGAGGCAGCAGUGGGGAAUCUUGCACAAUGGGGGAAACCCUGAUGCAGCGACGCCGCGUGAGCGAUGAAGCCCCUCGGGGUGUAAAGCUCUUUCGGCAGGGAAGAUGAUGACGGUACCUGCAGAAGCAGCUGCGGCUAACUACGUGCCAGCAGCCGCGGUAAUACGUAGGCAGCAAGCGUUGUUCGGAGUUACUGGGCGUAAAGGGUGUGUAGGCGGUUAUUUAAGUUUGGUGUGAAAUCUCCCGGCUCAACCGGGAGGGUGCGCCGAAUACUGAGUGACUAGAGUGUGGGAGAGGAAAGUGGAAUUCCUGGUGUAGCGGUGAAAUGCGUAGAUAUCAGGAGGAACACCGGUGGUGUAGACGGCUUUCUGGACCAUAACUGACGCUGAGACACGAAAGCGUGGGUAGCAAACAGGAUUAGAUACCCUGGUAGUCCACACCCUAAACGAUGCAUAUUUGGUGUGGGCAGUUCAUUCUGUCCGUGCCGGAGCUAACGCGUUAAAUAUGCCGCCUGGGGAGUACAGUCGCAAGGCUGAAACUCAAAGGAAUUGACGGGGGCCCGCACAAGCGGUGGAGCAUGUGGUUCAAUUCGACGCAACG
rnacentral:rRNA from 1 species